rnacentral:rRNA from 1 species
GGGGUUCCACACGUACCCAUCCCGAACACGACCGUUAAGCCCUCCAGCGCCGAUGGUACUUGGACCGAAGGGUCCUGGGAGAGUAGGACGCCGCCAAGC